rnacentral:rRNA from 1 species
CGGCCAACAAAGAGAGGCAAGACCGCGAGGUGGAGCAAAUCUCAAAAAGCCGUCCCAGUUCGGAUCGCAGGCUGCAACCCGCCUGCGUGAAGUUGGAAUCGCUAGUAAUCGCGGAUCAGCAUGCCGCGGUGAAUACGUUCCCGGGCCUUGUACACACCGCCCGUCACACCAUGAGAGUCGGGAACACCCGAAGUCCGUAGCCUAACCGCAAGGGGGGCGCGGCCGAAGGUGGGUUCGAUAAUUGGGGUGAAGUCGUAACAAGGUAGC